GAGCGAACCGGGAAGAGCCCAG
rnacentral:snRNA from 1 species